rnacentral:rRNA from 1 species
GGACCCGCACAAGCGGUGGAGCAUGUGGUUUAAUUCGAUGCAACGCGAAAAACCUUAACCUACCCUUAACAUUUCCGGAAUUUGAUAGAGAUAUCGAAGUGCCUUCGGGAGCCGGAGGAUAGGUGCUGCAUGGCUGUCGUCAGCUCGUGUCGUGAGAUGUUGGGUUAAGUCCCGCAACGAGCGCAACCCUUGUCCUUAGUUGCUAACGGUUUAAGCCGAGAACUUUAAGGAGACUGCCGUUGAUAAAACGGAGGAAGGUAGGGAUGAUGUCAAGUCAUCAUGGCCCUUACGGGUAGGCUACACACGUGCUACAAUGGGCGGUACAAAGGGCAGCGAAGCCGCGAGGUGGAGCAAAUCUCAUAAAGCCGCUCUCAGUCCGGAUUGGAGUCUGCAACUCGACUCCAUGAAGUUGGAAUC